UCUGCCUCCCUGGUUGGUUAGACGUCACACCGUCAGCACACAGCACACAGCUCUGCAAGGGUGAGGACCACCCGCUCACUCCCAGGCCCAGGCCCCCCUCCACCGCACAUAAGCCUCAUGGCUGGUGAAGUCUGCACCAGCAAGGCAAUGGUGAUCAGUUUCAUUUCCAGGUUUCUGCUGAGGCUAGCUCCCUGCCCUGUGGCCUGGCCCUCUGAGCACCUUACCCGGACAACCUUUGGAAUCAGAACUGGACUGGACCAAGCGCAGUGUGGACUAGAGUCCUGAUCUGUCACUUCCUUUCGAGCCAUGUCACCGAGUAACAAGUUAACAGAGAAUGUGUUUUUCAUCAGGGACUUACUAACAAAGACCUUUAAACCUGGCUAAAAAUUAACAAUGGAAAUUACAUUAUUAAACUGGAAACUUGCUGGUGACUAACACAACUCUAAAAGAGGCUUGAACGAGGGGGCUUUUCUAGAAUCAAGAAAGCAUGGAGAAUUACUGCCUUCUACCUGUCUCCCUGCCGGCUUCCUCCUCACCCUGUCUUCGACCCCACAAUGCAGAUCCACUCUUGGAUUAACUUGAGAACAUCCCGGGGACAGUGCAAUCAUCAGCCAUACUCCGGGCCUUAAAUCAACUUUGGGUGUGGG